AAAUUCGAGGACCGUAGCGAGACGCACUAAAGCGAAGGCAUUUGCCAAGAGUGUUUUCAUUAAUCAAGAACGAAAGUCAGAGGUUCGAAGGCGAUGMGAURMCAGGUGAAAUCUGUCGUGAGAGAUGCGAUCUGCGAAUUGGGUUGUGGAUUCGAGUUCAUAAGUGAGAUGUUUUCCGGAAACGAAAGUCUUUCGGUUCCGGGGGAAGUAUGGUUGCAAAGCUGAAACUUAAAGGAAUUGACGGAAGGGCACCACCAGGAGUGGAGCUUGCGGCUUAAUUUGACUCAACACGGGAAACCUCACCCGGCCAGCACAUCGUGAGGAUUGACAGACCGAUAGCUCUUUCAUGAUUCGGUGGAUGGUGGUGCAUGGCCGUUCUUAGUUCGUGCUAACGAAGUGUCUGCUUUAUUGCGAUAACGAGCGAGACGCCGACUGCUAACUAGUGCGUCGAUUGAUUCGUUUGUCGACGAUCAUUUCUUAGCGGGAUUCGUGGUUCUUAGCCUCAAGAAAUGGCGCAAUAACAGGUCUGUGAUGCCCUUAGAUGUUCGGGGCCGCACGCGUGCUACAAUGGUGGUAUCAGCGUGAUUGUCCUACUCCGAGAGGAGAUGGCAAACAGUUGAGAUAUUAUUAUGGCUGGAAUUGAGUGUUGAAAUUUUCACUCAUGAACGAGGAAUUCCAAGUAAAUGCAAGUCAUCACUCGCAUCGAUUACGUCCCUGCCCUUU
rnacentral:rRNA from 1 species